rnacentral:lncRNA from 1 species
UUACUAUGCUAAUGCUACACUAUAUUAUCUAUCUUUCUUACACAUGGUCAGGGUUAUUUGGUUAUGAUAACUAAUAUGUGAAAUGGUGGGGAUAAACACUAAAUAACUAAAAAUUUAUAAAUUGAAAAGUGCUUUGGAAAUGAGCAUAAUAGGAAUACAAAUCAUUUGUUCAAUAACUGCUUGGCAUUUGUCUCAACGUAUUUUAUUAUACUUUAGCUCAUUGGUGACAUUUUUUGGUUUCUAGAGCAAUGUUGAUCCCAGGGAUGAUGUAUUUGGAUAUCCUCAACAAUUUGAAGAUAAACCAGCAUUAAGUAAAACUGAAGAUAGAAAAGAGUACAACAUUGGUGUCCUAAGACACCUUCAGGUCAUCUUUGGUCAUUUAGCUGCUUCUCGACUGCAAUACUAUGUGCCCAGAGGAUUUUGGAAACAGUUCAGGCUUUGGGGUGAGCCUGUUAAUCUGCGUGAACAACACGAUGCUUUAGAAUUUUUUAAUUCAUUGGUGGAUAGUUUAGAUGAAGCUUUAAAAGCUUUAGGACAUCCAGCUAUGCUAAGUAAAGUCUUAGGAGGUUCCUUUGCUGAUC